rnacentral:tRNA from 1 species
AGUUAAUGAACUUGUAUAAGUAUAUAUUUUGAAAAUAUAAAAAAGAAACAAAAACUUUCUAUUAACUU